AUUGAAGUAGCAAACCGUGAGAGAGAAGGGAGAAAGAAGAAGAAGAAGAGAAAAGAGGGAAAUUAGAAGGGAAAUAGAAAGGAGUUGAAGAAAUAAGUAAAAAAAAGGUAAGAUUUAGGUUGUUAAAUGUAUAAAUGUAUGUUAAUUGAACUUUAAUUUCAGUUUUGAUGAAUGUUAGGGUUUUGAAAAUUUGUGUUUUGGGUUUGAUUGAUGAGUUAAUUUGAAUGUUAUAUGGUUAAUUGUUGUGGGUAUUUGAUUAUUUGGUUGAUUUUGAGAGAUUGAAUUGGAAGAUGAUGAUUUUAAGUUGUGAUUUUGUUUGAAUGGUGAAUUUUUGUUAGAAAUUUGGAGAGGACAGUAGGUUUUCUGUUAAAAUUCUGGGUUGGAGGUUGAAGACGAUAAAAUUUCGGUUUGGUCCCUCAAUUUUGGAAAAUUACAGUUUAGUCCCCAAACUUUGGAAAAUUACAGAUUGGUCCCUGGAUCAUAUUCCGAGAUUCUGAACAGAAUAAAACAUGAAUUAUGGGCAGAAUUCCUGUAUAGUUAUGAAAUUUUAACACUUUCAAUUUAGUCCUCCAAUUUGACAAAAAUUACAAUUUGACCCUAAAAAUUUGGUAAAAUUCCAGAAUGGUCCUUGGAGUAUAAUGAGAUGAUCUGGACAGAAAUGAGGACUAAUUAUGGUCAGAAUUUCAGUAUAGUAAUGGAUUUAUGACAAUUUCAGUUUGGUCCUUCAAUUUGACAAAAGUUGCAAUUUGACCCUUAAAAAUAUGAUAAAUUACAGAUUAGUCCCCAGAUGUAAUAUUAACUUUUGCAGAUUGGUUUGAUGAAUAAUUGAGGGUUAUUUAGUGAAUUAUUACCAAUUUUAUUAUUUGUUCUAUUAUGGAUUAGAUUUCGGGAAAACCGUUAAAUUUUGAGUUUUUGGGAAAAUUGACUAGUUAGUUCAAAAACAUAUAGGGUUAUGGAAUACACCCUUAGAUAAGUGUAUUAAAUAGGUUAUAUGUUCUUUUGAGUCAUUCUUGAAUAUGUCUCCUUUAUAUUCAGAUAAUCCUGAUAUUCUACCGGCGGGACGCCAUUAGGAUUUCCUUCGGUAUCUGCUACUUCUGUUUGCUUUCGAGUCGGGUGAGUGGAUAAUUUUCUAUAUGCAUGAGAAAUAUUAUAAAUAUUUGAUUUGUUAAUAUGCAUUGGAUCAUGCUUCUUGAUAAUAUAUAUGCUGAUUAUUAUCCUUGUUAUGAUAAAGCAUGAUCAAUUGUUGAAUCUGAAUUCUUGAUAUGAACCAGUAUAUAUUUUGAAUUGACUUCUGAAUUGAUAGCUUCUUAUUUGAUUGAUGUCAUGAGUUGAGCCUUGAGAUAUGAAUAUGUCUGUUUGAUUAUGAUUAUGAACCUAUAGUAUGCUAGUGAUCAGAAUACCCAUGCUAACAGGGUAAUGUUAGUCUUUGUGCACAUCGUAUCUGAACCCUAGUUGGUCGGGGGAGUCACCAACCUGUGUGGAUUGAUCAUCCCACAGUACAGAGCCUCAUGCUCAUUGCAUUUUGAUUUUCUGACGAGUUUUACCAUAUGAUCUUCUUGUUAUGGCCAAUUUAAGAAACAUUUCCAUAAGAACCUAAAGCCAUACUUGUAUAUAUAUUUCUCAUUGUUGUAUUACCUCGUGUGUGUGUAUUGAAUGUUAUCUACUCACUGAGUUGUUGAACUCACCAUCUCAUUAUUUAUCAUUUUCAGGCUUAUAGCUUGAUAGCAGGUUAUUUUGUUGGGCCUUCAGAACCUGCUCUUUGGUUGUACUUUGUAUGUUUCCUUUAUAUUUAGUUAGUGCUCCAAAACUCUGAACUUAUAUAAACUCUUGUAUUAAGACAAUUCAAUUAUAUUAUAAAGUUGAUUUUGUUAUUAA
rnacentral:lncRNA from 1 species